rnacentral:lncRNA from 1 species
GCGGCGGCGGCGGCUCACGGCGACGCAGGCUAACAGCGCUCGUCUGUUUUUCAGUUGGCGACCAGCAUUUCGACGUUCCAAGGGAAGACUUGUCGUGCUGCCUUGGAUUCAGGCCCGACUGCAAUUACCGGCUGGCGUGCAUCGACGGUCUGACGACGUCCUUUGGCGCGACACAGCCCAUUUCUGGAAGUCAAAGCAUAGUUCUUCCCGCGCACGGACGUCAGUGCUGCUCCCGCCAUCUGUGAACAGCGGACGCAGUUCCCAAAUCUUAUCUUCGGUGGUUGGUGGGCGUGGAGCUGCUCAGUUUGGCAGCGGCGGCGGCGGCGGCUCACGGACGCAGGCUAACAGCGCUCGUCUGUUUUUCAGUUGGCGACCAGCAUUUCGACGUUCCAAGGGAAGACUUGUCGUGCCGCCUGGGAUUCAGGCCCGACUGCAAUUACCGGCUGGCGUGCAUCGACGGUCUGACGACGUCCUUUGGCGCGACACAGCCCAUUCCUGGAAGUCAAAGCAUAGUUCUUCCCGCGCACGGACGUCAGUGCUGCUCCCGCCAUCUGUGAACAGCGGACGCAGUUCCCAAAUCUUAUCUUCGGUGGUUGGUGGGCGUGGAGCUGCUCAGUUUGGCAGCGGCGGCGGCGGCUCACGGACGCAGGCUAACAGCGCUCGUCUGUUUUUCAGUUUGAUGUCCUUUGUCGCUGUGUAACCGCUUGCGCAGUUAUGUAGGUAUGUCACACAAUUGGUCCCUCUACUAGCCAGUUAGGCUAUGGAACCAAACAAGUGUUUGCGAAGUUUUUUGUUACAUGGAUGUGAAAGUUACAA